rnacentral:rRNA from 1 species
GUGGGGUGCUCGAGUGGCGAACGGGUGAGUAACACGUGAGUAACCUGCCCUUGACUUUGGGAUAACUUCAGGAAACUGGGGCUAAUACCGGAUAGGAGCUCCUGCUGCAUGGUGGGGGUUGGAAAGUUUCGGCGGUUGGGGAUGGACUCGCGGCUUAUCAGCUUGUUGGUGGGGUAGUGGCUUACCAAGGCUUUGACGGGUAGCCGGCCUGAGAGGGUGACCGGCCACAUUGGGACUGAGAUACGGCCCAGACUCCUACGGGAGGCAGCAGUGGGGAAUAUUGCACAAUGGGCGGAAGCCUGAUGCAGCAACGCCGCGUGCGGGAUGACGGCCUUCGGGUUGUAAACCGCUUUCGCCUGUGACGAAGCGUGAGUGACGGUAAUGGGUAAAGAAGCACCGGCUAACUACGUGCCAGCAGCCGCGGUGAUACGUAGGGUGCGAGCGUUGUCCGGAUUUAUUGGGCGUAAAGGGCUCGUAGGUGGUUGAUCGCGUCGGAAGUGUAAUCUUGGGGCUUAACCCUGAGCGUGCUUUCGAUACGGGUUGACUUGAGGAAGGUAGGGGAGAAUGGAAUUCCUGGUGGAGCGGUGGAAUGCGCAGAUAUCAGGAGGAACACCAGUGGCGAAGGCGGUUCUCUGGGCCUUUCCUGACGCUGAGGAGCGAAAGCGUGGGGAGCGAACAGGCUUAGAUACCCUGGUAGUCCACGCUGUAAACGGUGGGUACUAGGUGUGGGGUCCAUUCCACGGGUUCCGUGCCGUAGCUAACGCUUUAAGUACCCCGCCUGGGGAGUACGGCCGCAAGGCUAAAACUCAAAGGAAUUCCCUGGUAGUCCACGCUGUAAACGGUGGGUACUAGGUGUGGGGUCCAUUCCACGGGUUCCGUGCCGUAGCUAACGCUUUAAGUACCCCGCCUGGGGAGUACGGCCGCAAGGCUAAAACUCAAAGGAAUUGACGGGGCCCCGCACAAGCGGCGGAGCAUGCGGAUUAAUUCGAUGCAACGCGUAGAACCUUACCUGGGUUUGACAUGGAUCGGGAGCGCUCAGAGAUGGGUGUGCCUCUUUUGGGGUCGGUUCACAGGUGGUGCAUGGCUGUCGUCAGCUCGUGUCGUGAGAUGUUGGGUUAAGUCCCGCAACGAGCGCAACCCUUGUUCACUGUUGCCAGCACGUUAUGGUGGGGACUCAGUGGAGACCGCCGGGGUCAACUCGGAGGAAGGUGGGGAUGACGUCAAGUCAUCAUGCCCCUUAUGUCCAGGGCUUCACGCAUGCUACAAUGGCUGGUACAGAGAGUGGCGAGCCUGUGAGGGUGAGCGAAUCUCGGAAAGCCGGUCUCAGUUCGGAUUGGGGUCUGCAACUCGACCUCAUGAAGUCGGAGUCGCUAGUAAUCGCAGAUCAGCAACGCUGCGGUGAAUACGUUCCCGGGGCUUGUACACACCGCCCGUCAAGUCAUGAAAGUUGGUAACACCCGAAGCCGGUGGCCUAACCGUUGUGGGGGAGCCGUC